GACGGAGGGCGCUAGCGUUGUUCGGAAUCACUGGGCGUAAAGGGCGCGUAGGCGGCCAUGUAAGUCGGGGGUGAAAGCCCGGGGCUCAACCCCGGAACGGCCUUCGAGACUGCGUGGCUGGAGACCGGAAGAGGAGGGUGGAAUACCCAGUGUAGAGGUGAAAUUCGUAGAUAUUGGGUGGAACACCAGUGGCGAAAGCGGCUCUCUGGUCCGGAUCUGACGCUGAGGCGCGAAAGCGUGGGGAGCAAACAGG
rnacentral:rRNA from 1 species